rnacentral:rRNA from 1 species
AUUGAACGCUGGCGGCAUGCUUUACACAUGCAAGUCGAACGGCAGCACGAAAGAGCUUGCUCUUUUGGUGGCGAGUGGCGAACGGGUGAGUAAUGCAUCGGAACGUACCGAGUAAUGGGGGAUAACUGUCCGAAAGGAUACCUAAUACCGCAUACGCUUUGAGAAGGAAAGUGGGGGCUCUUCGGACCUCACGUUAUUCGAGCGGCCGAUGUCUGAUUAGCUAGUUGGUGGGGUAAAGGCCUACCAAGGCGACGAUCAGUAGCGGGUCUGAGAGGAUGAUCCGCCACACUGGGACUGAGACACGGCCCAGACUCCUACGGGAGGCAGCAGUGGGGAAUUUUGGACAAUGGGCGCAAGCCUGAUCCAGCCAUGCCGCGUGUCUGAAGAAGGCCUUCGGGUUGUAAAGGACUUUUGUUAGGGAAGAAAAGGAUAGUGUUAAUACCAUUAUCUGCUGACGGUACCUAAAGAAUAAGCACCGGCUAACUACGUG